rnacentral:rRNA from 1 species
UGGGGAAUAUUGGACAAUGGGCGCAAGCCUGAUCCAGCCAUGCCGCGUGAGUGAUGAAGGCCCUAGGGUUGUAAAGCACUUUUUGAGAGGAUGAGGAAGGACGGUACUCUCAGAAUAAGUCUCGGCUAACUACGUGCCAGCAGCCGCGGUAACACGUGGGAGGCAAACGUUAUCCGGAUUUACUGGGCGUAAAGCGCGUGUAGGUGGUUCUGUAAGUAGGGCGUGAAAGCUCCUGGCUCAACUGGGAGAGGCCGUUCUAAACUGCAGAGCUAGAGGAUGGUGGAGGGAGGUGGAAUUCCGGGUGUAGCGGUGGAAUGCGCAGAUAUCCGGAGGAACACCAGUGGCGAAAGCGGCCUCCUGGACCAUUCCUGACACUCAGACGCGAAAGCUAGGGUAGCAAACG